CUGUGAGAGGAAUGAUGUAUUACUACAGGGCGCUUAAAAUGCUUUCAUAUCUUGAUUCUGCAUCUGAAAUUGACAUGAGG